rnacentral:rRNA from 1 species
AUUGAACGCUGGCGGCAGGCCUAACACAUGCAAGUCGAACGGUAACAGGAAACAGCUUGCUGUUUCGCUGACGAGUGGCGGACGGGUGAGUAAUGUCUGGGAAACUGCCUGAUGGAGGGGGAUAACUACUGGAAACGGUAGCUAAUACCGCAUAACGUCGCAAGACCAAAGAGGGGGACCUUCGGGCCUCUUGCCAUCGGAUGUGCCCAGAUGGGAUUAGCUAGUAGGUGGGGUAACGGCUCACCUAGGCGACGAUCCCUAGCUGGUCUGAGAGGAUGACCAGCCACACUGGAACUGAGACACGGUCCAGACUCCUACGGGAGGCAGCAGUGGGGAAUAUUGCGCAAUGGGCGCAAGCCUGAUGCAGCCAUGCCGCGUGUAUGAAGAAGGCCUUCGGGUUGUAAAGUACUUUCAGCGGGGAGGAAGGGAGUAAAGUUAAUACCUUUACUCAUUGACGUUACCCGCAGAAGAAGCACCGGCUAACUCCGUG